rnacentral:rRNA from 1 species
UGGGGAAUCUUGCGCAAUGGCCGAAAGGCUGACGCAGCGACGCCGCGUGUGGGAUGAAGGUCUUCGGAUUGUAAACCACUGUCGGGAGGGACGAAGCUCUGACGGUACCUCCAAAGGAAGCACCGGCUAACUCUGUGCCAGCAGCCGCGGUAAUACAGAGGGUGCGAGCGUUGUCCGGAAUCACUGGGCGUAAAGGGCGCGUAGGCGGCCUGGUAAGUCGGGGGUGAAACGCUGCGGCUCAACCGCAGCACUGCCUUCGAGACUGCCGGGCUUGAGCACGGUAGAGGCUGGUGGAAUUCCCGGUGUAGCGGUGGAAUGCGUAGAGUUCGGGAAGAACAUCGGUGGCGAAGGCGGCCAGCUGGGCCGUUGCUGACGCUGAGGCGCGACAGCGUGGGGAGCAAACAGG